CUACGGGAUGCACCAGUGAGGAAUAUUGCACAAUGGGGGGAACCCUGAUGCAGCAACGCCGCGUGGAGGAUGACGCAUUUCGGUGUGUAAACUCCUUUUAUAUGUCAAGAAAAUGACGGUAGCAUAUGAAUAAGCACCGGCUAACUCCGUGCCAGCAGCCGCGGUAAUACGGAGGGUGCAAGCGUUACUCGGAAUCACUGGGCGUAAAGGACGCGUAGGCGGGUUGGAAAGUCAGGUGUGAAAUCCUACAGCUUAACUGUAGAACUGCACUUGAAACUUGUAAUCUAGAGUAUGGGAGGGGAGAUGGAAUUAGUGGUGUAGGGGUAAAAUCCGUAGAUAUCACUAGGAAUACCUAAAGCGAAGGCGAUCUCCUGGAACAUUACUGACGCUAAGGCGUGAAAGCGUGGGGAGCAAACAGGAUUAGAUACCCGGGUAGUC
rnacentral:rRNA from 1 species